CUUUUAUGAUAGUGUAUAAACAAAUGUACGUUCAAAAUUAUAUCCGAAUAAAAAAAAUGUAUCAUGUACGUAUACACGGAUUUAUUAGUAGUUUAUCAAGGAAACAAAUACUUUUAGCCUAUGCCUUAUAAAUAUUAUAAAUGUGGGAGAGUUUAGUUAAAAACAUAAUUUCAUCCUUUUCUCCACCUCUUUCUCAUUAGAAAAGGAGAAAAUGGAGUUAAAAAGCUGGUUUGCAAGUUCAUCUAGCUAAUAAUCAUCCUUAUUGCUCCUUGAUCAUUAUCAACAAUCAAAAUUAGCAUUGCAUGCAUGAUUAUGCUAGAGUUAUAAGUGAUGUAGAUUAGAGUACUUAGUAAGAAAGGAAGGCAAGAAAUUGAAAAAAUUAUAAAUAUUUCAACUCAUCGAUCAAGCUUGCAAGCAAUUGAGGCAUCACCAUCAUCAUCUUUUCCAAAGGUGGGUUUCCUAUUACACCAUGAUUCUAUAGGAUAUGAAUGACAUGAAUGUUUGGAUAUAAAAUUCUGAGUUGCAUGUCAAUAGAUUAAGUAAGAAUGAUGAAAUAAGAUUGUAAGGAAUUGUGUGUUUAAUGAGUAUAAUUGAUGUAUAAUUAUGAUGAAUCAUAUCAUCAGUUAUUAUGUUUGAAACCCUAGAUUAGUAGGCAAUGUGAUGUCUGAAAAUUUUAUGUUUAUUAUAAAGUCAUAGUUGCACAAUAGGUCAUUUGUGUGUAUAUGAUCAUUUGAGAAAUUUUAGAUUAAUUUGAAAGUAUACAAUCAUCUAUCAAAAGGCAUGCAAUCGUUCUUGAUGCACUUAAAAAUUAUAUGCGGGUGGAGAAGGUAUGGACAAUCUGCAGCAGUUAUGCAUUUGUAAUAAUCUGCAAUAAGAUAUAGAAUAAAACAAUGUUAUUAAAAUGAAAUAAAAUAUUUAGUAAGAAUUACAAAAUAAAGAAGGAUUUUUUUUAUUGGAAAAUAAAUUCAUUCAAAGAGCAAGAAGGAAAUUUGAAUAGAUGAAAAACUGAUUUACACAUUGGUUUCACUGCCUCCGUUGAAAGAAAGAAUAUGGAGAGUAAUAAAAUCAUAGUAUAAACAAAUUUGAUAUUGUUAGUCAUAUUUUCCUUCGUUGCCAAUAACAACUAGAAUAUGUGUUCAUUAAUUUAUAGUGUACAAAUUUUUUUUUUUGCAAUGAAAAAAUAAAUAAACUUUUUUACCAAUUAAAUUGAUCAAAUUGUUUUGUUGUCCCUUUCUUACUAAUAAAUAUCUCUUAAAUUAAUGUGUUGUGUGUUUCCCCUCUAGAACAAUCAAUAAAAGGGUGACUUAAAAAAAAUUCUAAUCAUUAGAACUUAUUAGUUUUUAAGUAAAGUUUUAACCACAUAUGAUAGAGAGGGGACAUGUUUUUUUUUUUAUAGAAUUAUUCGACAAUUAUAAAAUUUUAAUAACAAUAAUUACAUUGGACUAAACAUCAUUGUUCUGUACAAGUUGAACAUGUCAUCGAUUUCUUUUAUUUUAUUUUUAUAUGUAGCCUUUUUCUUUGUUACAAAAUAUAACAAUUAUAUAAAGUCAUUUGUUCAUAGAAUAUAGCUGUCAAUAUUUAUCUUUUGGUGAUUUCUUUUAUAUAUUUUGAUUAAUAUUUAUAUACAAAAUUGAAUAGGAUUUCGAUAGCCACACCCUCUAUUGUUAUUGAAAGAGUUAUCUCAUUGAUGAUUUCAAAAAUUUCUAACAAAUUUAGUUUUUAUAUUUAUUUAUUUUAGAAAAGAAAAUUUUGGAGAUGAAAUACAUCAUUUAAUCAAGAUUAAUCGAUCUUGAAAUUAUGUGGCACCUCAGCAAAUAAACAAUCAUAUGUAAUAUUGUUAACACUCUAUCUUCGACUCUUUUUACUGCCUUGCCCUAUUUUUAAAUUUUUUUUUUCAAUAUAUCCCACUUUGAAAAUUAAUUUCCAGAAUGUCCUAUUUUAUAUCUUUGUCUCGCCUAUUGAAAGGACGAGUUGCUGAAUCACGUAAAUUAGUAUUGACUCGCCCAUUGGUUGGACGAGUCCUGGCAAAACUUUUUCCCCAUGCAUGAACUCGGCCAAUGGAUGGCCGAGUGAAUGAAGUGAAUUUUUUUUUGUUUUUUAAACUAAUUUAAUAGAUUUAAUUAAUGAAUAUUAUUUUUAAAUAAUAUAGUUAUUACCAAUGACUUUCAUUGACCGAACAUUUGGUUUGUGUUUGUACUGUCUCGGCCAAUGAUUGGCCGAGUAUUCAUGUAUUAAUUUUCUAUAAAUAGCAGGACUUGCAGAAAUGUAAUUCAGAUCACACAUCAAAUUAUUUUGGUAAGAAUGUCUGUUUGGGGUCUUGUAUUUUAUGGACAAGGUGAAAAAAUCAGUGUUUGCCUCGAUCCGCAAUGGAAUUUCAGAACACUGAUUGCAACCAUCCAGACUGGGUUUCGACAAUUGGGCGGACGUCGUAUGAAGGUGACAAAAGUAGAGUAUCGUUUUCCAUACAUAACAUUGACUGAUGCAAGCCCUGAUGGUACGUACAUGUAUUACCUGGAUCGUAUAGAAAAUGAUGAAAAUGUUCAUUGUAUGUUUUCGGCACAUAGUGGUGAAGUUAACAGAGGAGUUGAAGGUCCACUUGUGUUUGUUGUUGUUGAUGAUUAGUUAGUUAAUAACCUUUAUGAAUUUAAGUUGUUGUGAUUGUACUUUGUAACCAGAAGCCUUGAUUAUCAAUUGUAUUCCAUAAUGUUUGUUUCCAAAAGACAUUAUUAAUACACAAGGGUAUAUAUGUAGCACGUGUAUAAUAGUUGAUAAUAAAAAAAACAUAAUCAUCUAGAGGGUCCUGCAACAUUUGGACAUUU
rnacentral:lncRNA from 1 species